rnacentral:pre_miRNA from 1 species
UUUGUACUCCCUUCGUCUUAAAAUUCUUGUCUUAAAUUUAUCUAAAUACGAAUGUAUCUAGUUACAUUUUAGUGUUAGAUACAUCUGUAUCUAAACAAAUGUAAGACAAGAAUUUUGGGACGGAGGGAAUACUAC